GGAGAAAUGAAUGGACCUACUAUCGUUCUCCAUAAAAUCAAAGGAUGAUUUGUACUUGGAAGCAUCUUUCGUUGAUAGCUGGCCAGCUAUAGAAUCCAAUGAAGGAAAAUGAGACAAUGAGGGACUAGACUGGAAUAUCUUCAUUUGACUGUUCAGCAUUUCUUUCCUUUGAUGUUCAUUCAUGAGAUCUCUUUGUCUUCUAUAAAGCCGGUGGAGUUCUUGGAUCUGAUGCCUAAAAAUUG
rnacentral:misc_RNA from 1 species